UUGUUUCAGCAGCACAGAUUCUAAAAUUGGAUCAAUACAAAUCAGAUAAGCAUGUCUGCUGCCUAAGGAUGGCACACAAAUUCAUAAAGCAUUCCCUAUUUGG
rnacentral:snRNA from 1 species